GGCUUCGUAGCUCAGCUGGUAGAGCGCUUGCCGCGUAGGGGCACAGUGUUUCUGUCGCUAGUUGGAAUCCAGCCGAAGCGC